GCCAGAGUGGCGGAAUUGGUAGACGCGCUGGACUCAAAAUCCAGUGGGUGUAAACCCGUGUGGGUUCGAGUCCCACCUUUGGUA
rnacentral:tRNA from 1 species